AGUCAACCUAACCUAUGGACGGGAAUAACCUCGGGAAACUGAGAAUAAUGCCCGAUAGAACAUUAUGCCUGGAAUGGUUUAUGUUCCAAAUGAUUUAUCGCCGUAGGAUGGGACUGCGGCCUAUCAGUUUGUUGGUGAGGUAAUGGCCCACCAAGACUAUUACAGGUACGGGCUCUGAGAGGAGUAGCCCGGAGAUGGGUACUGAGACACGGACCCAGGCCCUAUGGGGCGCAGCAGGCGAGAAAACUUUGCAAUGUGCGAAAGCACGACAAGGUUAAUCCGAGUGGUUUCUGCUAAAGAAACCUUUUGUCAGUCCUAGAAACACUGAUGAAUAAGGGGUGGGCAAGUUCUGGUGUCAGCCGCCGCGGUAAAACCAGCACCUCAAGUGGUCAGGAUGAUUAUUGGGCCUAAAGCAUCCGUAGCCGGCUCUGUAAGUUUUCGGUUAAAUCUGUACGCUCAACGUACAGGCUGCCGGGAAUACUGCAGAGCUAGGGAGUGGGAGAGGUAGACGGUACUCGGUAGGAAGGGGUAAAAUCCUUUGAUCUAUUGAUGACCACCUGUGGCGAAGGCGGUCUACCAGAACACGUCCGACGGUGAGGGAUGAAAGCUGGGGGAGCAAACCGGAUUAGAUACCCGGGUAGUCCCAGCUGUAAACUAUGCAAACUCAGUGAUGCAUUGGCUUGUGACCAAUGCAGUGCUGCAGGGAAGCCGUUAAGUUUGCCGCCUGGGAAAUACGUACGCAAGUAUGAAACUAA
rnacentral:rRNA from 1 species